rnacentral:rRNA from 1 species
CCCCUAGAUGUUCUGGGCCGCACGCGCGCUACACUGAGCAGUUCAACAAGUCUUAACCUUGGCCGAUAGGUCUGGGUAAUCUUUGAACGCUGUUCGUGAUUGGGAUAGACCUUUGCAAUUAUGGGUCUUCAACGAGGAAUUCCUAGUAAACGCAAGUCAUCAGCUUGCAUUGAUUACGUCCCUGCCCUUUGUACACACCGCCCGUCGCACCUACCGAUUGAAUGGUCCGGUGAAAUCUCGGGACGGCGGCUUGGUCGCUUGCGUCCGACUGCUGAAACUUGAUUAAACCAUAUCAUUUAGAGGAAGGUGAAGUCGUANCA